GAUGAACGCUGGCGGCGUGCCUAAUACAUGCAAGUCGAGCGAACAGAUAAGGAGCUUGCUCCUUUGACGUUAGCGGCGGACGGGUGAGUAACACGUGGGUAACCUACCUAUAAGACUGGGAUAACUUCGGGAAACCGGAGCUAAUACCGGAUAACAUUUGGAACCGCAUGGUUCUAAAGUGAAAGAUGGUUUUGCUAUCACUUAUAGAUGGACCCGCGCCGUAUUAGCUAGUUGGUAAGGUAACGGCUUACCAAGGCAACGAUACGUAGCCGACCUGAGAGGGUGAUCGGCCACACUGGAACUGAGACACGGUCCAGACUCCUACGGGAGGCAGCAGUAGGGAAUCUUCCGCAAUGGGCGAAAGCCUGACGGAGCAACGCCGCGUGAGUGAUGAAGGGUUUCGGCUCGUAAAACUCUGCUAUUAGGGAAGAACAAACGUGUAAGUAACUGUGCACGUCUUGACGGUACCUAAUCAGAAAGCCACGGCUAACUACGUG
rnacentral:rRNA from 1 species